rnacentral:rRNA from 1 species
CGAGCGGCGAACGGGUGAGUAACACGUGAGCAACCUGCCCUAGGCUUUGGGAUAACCCUCGGAAACGGGGGCUAAUACCGAAUAUGACCUCUGGACGCAUGUCUGGUGGUGGAAAGUUUUUCGGCCUGGGAUGGGCUCGCGGCCUAUCAGCUUGUUGGUGGGGUGAUGGCCUACCAAGGCGACGACGGGUAGCCGGCCUGAGAGGGCGACCGGCCACACUGGGACUGAGACACGGCCCAGACUCCUACGGGAGGCAGCAGUGGGGAAUAUUGCACAAUGGGCGGAAGCCUGAUGCAGCGACGCCGCGUGAGGGAUGACGGCCUUCGGGUUGUAAACCUCUUUCAGCAGGGACGAAGCGAGAGUGACGGUACCUGCAGAAGAAGCACCGGCCAACUACGUGCCAGCA